rnacentral:rRNA from 1 species
CAGUAGCCACGGUAAUACGUAGGUGGCAAGCGUUGUCCGGAAUUAUUGGGCGUAAAGGGCUCGCAGGCGGUUUCUUAAGUCUGAUGUGAAAGCCCCCGGCUCAACCGGGGAGGGUCAUUGGAAACUGGGAAACUUGAGUGCAGAAGAGGAGAGUGGAAUUCCACGUGUAGCGGUGAGAUGCGUAGAGAUGUGGAGGAACACCAGUGGCGAAGGCGACUCUCUGGUCUGUAACUGACGCUGAGGGGCGAAAGCGUGGGGAGCGAACAGGAUUAGAUACCCCCGUAGUCCCUGUCUCUUAUAC